AGAGCGAACGCUGGCGGCAGGCUUAACACAUGCAAGUCGAGCGGGCACCUUCGGGUGUCAGCGGCAGACGGGUGAGUAACACGUGGGAACGUACCCUUCGGUUCGGAAUAACGCUGGGAAACUAGCGCUAAUACCGGAUACGCCCUUUUGGGGAAAGGUUUACUGCCGAAGGAUCGGCCCGCGUCUGAUUAGCUAGUUGGUGGGGUAACGGCCUACCAAGGCGACGAUCAGUAGCUGGUCUGAGAGGAUGAUCAGCCACACUGGGACUGAGACACGGCCCAGACUCCUACGGGAGGCAGCAGUGGGGAAUAUUGGACAAUGGGCGCAAGCCUGAUCCAGCCAUGCCGCGUGAGUGAUGAAGGCCUUAGGGUUGUAAAGCUCUUUUGUCCGGGACGAUAAUGACGGUACCGGAAGAAUAAGCCCCGGCUAACUUCGUGCCAGCAGCCGCGGUAAUACGAAGGGGGCUAGCGUUGCUCGGAAUCACUGGGCGUAAAGGGCGCGUAGGCGGCCAUUCAAGUCGGGGGUGAAAGCCUGUGGCUCAACCACAGAAUUGCCUUCGAUACUGUUUGGCUUGAGUAUGGUAGAGGUCAGUGGAACUGCGAGUGUAGAGGCGAAAUUCGUAGAUAUUCGCAAGAACACCAGUGGCGAAGGCGGCUGACUGGACCAUUACUGACGCUGAGGCGCGAAA
rnacentral:rRNA from 1 species